rnacentral:rRNA from 2 species
AGCGAACGCUGGCGGCAGGCCUAAUACAUGCAAGUCGAGCGGUCCCUUCGGGGGCAGCGGCGGACGGGUGAGUAACGCGUGGGAACGUGCCCUUUGGUACGGAACAACUGAGGGAAACUUCAGCUAAUACCGUAUGUGCCCUUCGGGGGAAAGAUUUAUCGCCAUUGGAGCGGCCCGCGUUAGAUUAGCUAGUUGGUAGGGUAAAGGCCUACCAAGGCGACGAUCUAUAGCUGGUCUGAGAGGAUGAUCAGCCACACUGGGACUGAGACACGGCCCAGACUCCUACGGGAGGCAGCAGUAGGGAAUCUUGCGCAAUGGGCGAAAGCCUGACGCAGCCAUGCCGCGUGAAUGAUGAAGGUCUUAGGAUUGUAAAAUUCUUUCACCGGGGACGAUAAUGACGGUACCCGGAGAAGAAGCCCCGGCUAACUUCGUG